UUGAACGCUGGCGGCAUGCUUUACACAUGCAAGUCGAACGGCAGCGCGGGCUUCGGCCUGGCGGCGAGUGGCGAACGGGUGAGUAAUGCAUCGGAACGUGCCCAGUAGUGGGGGAUAGCCCGGCGAAAGCCGGAUUAAUACCGCAUACGACCUGAGGGUGAAAGCGGGGGACCGAAAGGCCUCGCGCUAUUGGAGCGGCCGAUGUCGGAUUAGCUAGUUGGUGGGGUAAAGGCUUACCAAGGCGACGAUCCGUAGCUGGUCUGAGAGGACGACCAGCCACACUGGGACUGAGACACGGCCCAGACUCCUACGAGAGGCAGCAGUGGGGAAUUUUGGACAAUGGGGGCAACCCUGAUCCAGCCAUGCCGCGUGCGGGAAGAAGGCCUUCGGGUUGUAAACCGCUUUUGUUCGGGAAGAAAUCCUCUGGGCUAAUACCCCGGGGGGAUGACGGUACCGGAAGAAUAAGCACCGGCUAACUACGUG
rnacentral:rRNA from 1 species